GAGGGCGUGGGCAAGGGCUCUGCAUUGAGCCAAGUUUGGAAAUAAUAAACAAGAGGCUCAGGGACCAGCAUAGCUUGGAAAGGCUGUGAUGGCCAAGUUGGGAAGUGUGUGCUUGGGUCUCCGAGCAGGCAGGAGGCUCUCCCUGACCCUCAAACUUACUAGCCAUGCUCUCCUGAGGCGGUUUAGCCUACCCCAUCUGUGUUCUGGUUUUCUUGGCUAAUACUUAACCUGCCAUGUGUUAAAUCUUUAAGUCAAAGGUGGGGUGUUUGGGAGCUGGUACAGUUAUCGGGGAGAACUCUUAUGAAUGACAUCAAUGCCCUCAUGAAAGAAACCCAAAUGCUGCCUUCUGCCAUGUGAGAAGACUCCAGUUUAUGAUCCAGAAGUCAGGCCUCACCAGUUAUGGGAUCUGGUAGUGCCUUGGACUUCUCAGCCUUAGGACUGUUCUUUAAAUCCUGUGGCUUAUACACUGCACAGUAGAAGGCAUUUUGUUACAGAUGGACUCUCUCUAGCUCUGACCUCACAGGGCACUAGGGUUUCAGCUUGUUGUUUGGAUGGAUGAUGGCUAUGGGGGAGGGGGAAUUAAGUUGCAAAACCUGUCUUGGGUCUGAGUUCAAAUGUUGACAGUGUUUGCAGAAAUAUCCAUCAUCGCUUUCUCCUCUAGAUAUUUACAGCCCGAAGAGUGAUCCCCUAUGGACAGUGCUCCUGCCAAGAUUAGCUAAGCCUCCUUGUUCACAAGGACACAAUAACGUCAGCUCCCUGUUCAACUGUAUAAAUUAGACAUGCUGAGCUUCCAGGGUGCAGUCUCCAUCGAUAACCCAAGCCACAUGAUCUCGUAUGUGUAUCUGUGGGUCUUCUUUUCUUCAGUCCCUUGCUGUCCCUAGUCAGGGUUGUGGGACCUUCUCCGCACAAGAACAUGGCAACUGGUAAUGAUUAACACAGUAAUUAAAUGCACGUUAGCACUACAGAACUGUGCAUACCUAAAAUCGAAGACAUAUGUAUUUUAUUACAGUAAAAAAUUGGGAGGAAAGGGUCAUGGCAAAAAAAAAAUCUUGAUGGUAUUUAUAAAAGAAGGUUUCUCAAAAGGCAAAAUGUAACAAGCAGUCAAAUACAUAUAACCAAGAAACAGGAGAGAGUUCAAAAUGGAUUUGAUGCAAGUACAGAAAAGUGGUGAACUGAAACCGGAAGGCGGGUGGGUUAAGUAACUGUCAGGAAUUGGGAACAGAGACAAGAUGGAGCACUUGGAUCACAGGCGAAGAGGCACGAGCCGGCACAAGGACCAGAGAGCAGUAAGGACACAGGCAUUGGAGAAUCUUCCAGGAUUGACAAGAGACAUGCAGCUGCACCUCCAGACCUCGGGGACUAAAACAAAGCCACACUGAACCAGUUGGGAAAAAGUAGAAAGCCAAAUGCAGGAAGGCACUCUGAAAGAAGAGAGCUGACGGACAACAGUCAGGAGCUGUUCAGGUGCUCAUGGCUGACUUUUUUAUAAAGCAUAAUCUCAAUCAUCAUCAUCACCACCACCACCACCACCACCACCACCACCACCACCACCACCAUCAUCAUCAUCUUAUUAUUAUUAUUAUUACUAUUAUUAUAUUAUUAUUAUACAUUCCAACCACAAUUCCCCCACUCCCCUCCCAAUCCCCCCACCUCACCUUCAUCCACCUCCCCUUUCUCCCAGAUCCACCACUCCUCCAUUUCCCUUCAGAAAAGGGCCAGCUUCCUAGACAUGUUCUCUCUUAUUAAGCCUGGACGAUGCAGCCCAGUAUAAGGAAAAAGGUCCCACAAGCCAGCAAAAGAGUCAGAGACAGCUCCUGCUCCCACCAUUAGGAGCCCCACAGGAAAACCAAACUGCACAGCUAUAACAUGUAUGCAGAAGGGUUAAGUCAGUCCCAACCAGGCUCUCUGGUUGGCAGUUCAACCUCUGUGAGCCCUUGUAAGCCCAAGUUAGUUGAUUCUGUGGGUUUUCUUGUGGUGUCCUUGACCCCUCUGAUGCUUAUAAUCUCUCCUCCCCCUCUUCUGCAGGACUUCUCAAGCUCUGCCUGAUGUUCUGGUGGGUCUCUCUGUGCCACUUGACUUUUAAUGGAAGCUAAAGAACAGUGGCAUUUUAAGUUCAGUGUGCCAGGAGACAGCAGUGCCAACGUAAAGACCUAGGCUCAGAGGAGACACUGAAGCUGCUAAAUGAAGGUGAUUUACACAGCCAGAAAUAAAUGCAUACACAGAAAUACAGACCCACACUUAAAGAUUGAAUCAACCUCAAGUUGACAGGAAACGCAAGGUCAGAGAUCCAAGAAGGGAAGAAAGGAGAAAUUAGAGCAUAAAUCCAUGUGGACAAGGACCAAAAGGGACACCACAGCUAAUGGAACAGUGCAGAAGAUCUACAAAUUAAAACUCAAGACAACAAAGGCAUUCUGCCUGGGAAAGGCAUCAAAAUGAAGUCUCCUCAGGUCACUGUAUGCUCCAAGGGGGAGUAAUGGGACAGUGGAGUUUUUAAUGAGCUUCAGUAUGUUAACAGUUGUACGGUGCCAUCUGGAGAAUCUUUGAGACCACAGAAGCAGCACAUCCUUGACAGAGAGGUGAGAUGGAGCAGUUAAAAUACUCAAAAUGGCUGAAAAAACUAACCACGAAACAGAUAGUGUUGCAGUUCUGCUCCAGCUGCUGGAAAAUUUCCCUAAUGCAGGUGACAUCCAGUCAGCUACUCAGCCACUAGCUCCUCAGAAACCUGAUCAUGAGCCCAGACGUUGUCCUAAGUGGGGGCUGCACCUGCAGAAAUGCCGAAUUCCCACCACCUCCACCUCCACCACCACCACCACAAAAAAAAAAAAAAAAAAAAAAAAAAGCCUGCCACCCUGGGAAGAAGGAUCUGCCUGGCCUUGGUUCCAGAGUCGUCGUAGCCUUCCCUGGCCCUUUCCUGAAAGUUAGGCCUGCAGGGCCUUCCUGUGGCCACUCCCAGGCCUCCUCUGGGACCAGCAGUUCUUGGGCCAGUUCAGGAACACCGCCCUCUCUUCAGGCUGAACACCUGUUGUUGAGACAAACAGGGCUGCCACUUGGAGUCACACUCCAGGGUGGGUGAUGUUCCAGGAGGGACCCUUCAGGAUGACUGCUGGCAAAGUCUGCAGAGGACAGAGAAGAGUAUAGACCAUCCCUGCUUCCCAGGGAUGCCCUCCCCUCCUUGGCUAGCUAGCCUUGCCAGGACCAGGCUGUGCAGGGGCAAGCCGAGAUUCCUGGUCAGCUGCCCAACUUCCUUGGGAGGCUGGGAGCACACAGUGGAGGAGGUUAGAGUAUCCUGGAUGGUGUGUGACUGCCUACAUGCCUGCCUGCCCACACUCUCCUGUCACCGCUCCCCCUUACUUCCCCCUUCUUGCUUCUGCAGGAAGGUGGCCCUGGCUGGAGGAAGCAGAGAGGCAGGGCUGUUGGCAUUUCCGACUUGUUUGAAGUCAGGAACGCCUGAACACCAAGUGCAAUGUGACCCGAGCUUGGGCCAACUACCCUGAAGCCUGGGGCCAGAGGCUGCUCUGAGUAGAGGCUCUGGCCUACAAGAGAGACUGCUCUAGUCAUGCCAACAUCUGAUCAGAUCAAUCCCAGUUUCGGCUUCUCUAUCCUGACCCAGAUGACAAAGUUCUCCCAACCCCAUGUUUUUUACACUUGUUUUGAGGGCUAUAGGCAUGUCUUUCAUUUCCUGUCAGCCUUCUGGGCAGCUAGGGAUCCUCUUACAGGCAUGGUGGGGGCUGGUGUCCUGGGCAGGACUGCUGUGUGAGCAUCCCUUAUUCUCAGCCCUGGAGGGCUCCCCGAGAAAAGCACCUUGAGACAGCCAUCAUGGAGUUAUAUACAUAAUUGUGGGAGGGACAAGAGAGUCACUAGGGGCAGUCAGGAUAAAUUGCAGGAGGGGUCAUUUGGGAUUUUGUCUGUGCUUACUCUUGCCAUCUGUCCACAGUGUCUCCCUUAGCUCACUUUCUGGUAUGAUGUCUUUAUCUAAGCCUGUGACAGAGUAUGGCCGGAGGUGCUCUUUUAUGCACCGUCUCCAGAUGUCUCUGACUUGUCCUGUGUGAAUGGAGCUGUUGCUUCACCCCCAGCACACCUGACCAGGUGCUGCUUAAGUGCCAGGUUCAGCAGGGCCAGAACCCAGCCAUCUGGACAUUCCCCGCCAGUGAGUAAUGACUGUGCCAUGCCUCAUGGUCUAACACCCUUUUGUGUCCACCACUGGCUAGGCCACUGCCUCCUGGACUCACUUGAAACUUUGGGCCUUUAGCCUGCAGGGAGAAGAGCCUCUUUCUGGCCUCCCAGAAGAGCUGCAGCUGCCAUGUCAGAGGGAGAAUUCCCAGGCCAAGCUUGUGGCCUCCUCCCCACAUAGAGCGUGGAGUCCUCCAAACUGGACUCCUGGGUACAGUGGUCGUGUCUCUGGGAUCUCGUUCCGGUUCUCAUCCCCAGUGGUCCUCUAAAGUUCCUGUGCCUUCUCCACUUCCCAUCCUGCCAUCUAGUACAGACAACAGAUAAUGUUUGUCUCAGGGGCCUGAGAGGCUAGCUAUGUCUGACUCUUGAUAAGCUCUGUAUAAGCUCAGAGGACACUGAGCUUGCCGUGGACGAUUAGGGUCAAGGCUCUGCCUAGAAGCAUUCUCUCUCUGUAUUCCGAGAACCUUUAGGAGACCUGAGCAUGCACCGAGUCUCAAGGACAAGGGGGCAGGUCAGUGGGUGCAUAAUUAUGGAAGGCUUGGUGAGCAAAUAACUUGGCCUGCUUUGUAAAGAAAUACACACCCCACCUCAUGCACGUAUAUCAGGCUGGGAAGAUGGCUUAGUGUUGCCUCAAAAGCACAGGGACAUGAGUUCUAUUCUUGAAACCCUCAUUAAAAAGCCAGGUGUGACGUCAUGAUUGUCAUCCCAGCGCUGAGUAGUAGAGACCAUAUUCCUGGGGACUUGCUGGCCAGGAAGUCUAACUUGCUUGGCCCGAAGUGUAGGAGGUUCUCGUCACCACAAGCACACCAGUCAUGUGCUUCACUAAGUCAUCCUGAUGUCCCAGGGUGAUGGGAAUUUUCAGCUCUAUUGUCACCCCAGGGGACUAUUUCUGCCAGGACUGUAAACACUUACAUAUGUUCAUCAUGCACAUAUUCCCACGUCCGAAUCCACUCUCACGAGACACACAGAGAUGCAGGUACUGUAAGUCAAAGUGAUCCGUCCAACUCAAACCCAACACAAAGCCACAUUUUAUUUUAUGCUUCCUCCUCUCUGAACCUUCAGUUGUCAUCUCUAACAGUGAUGCUCUGUGUCCUAUAAGCCUUGUUGUAAACUUGACACAGCCCAGAGUCCUCUGGGAGGAAAGCCUUGAUUGAGGAAUUACCUAGGUCAGACAGGUCUGGACUUAUGUGUGCAGGAUUGUCUUGAGUACUAAUUGAUGCGGGAGGGCCCAGCCUACUGUGGGCGGUUCUAUACCCAGGCCCUGGGUUGUACAGGAAAGCUAGCUAAGCAUGAGCCUGCAAGCAAGCAAGCAAGCCGGAGAGCGAGCCAGAAAGGAGAGCGAGCCAGCAAGCAGCAUUUCUCCAUGGUUCUUGCCCGGAUGUCCCUUAAUGGUGGACUGUGACCUUGAAGUGUAAGCUAAAUAAACCCAUUCUUUUAAACUGCUUUGUCAGUGUUUCACUAGAAACAAUGUAAUAGAAAGUAACGAGGAGGACGCUCACAUCAGUCCCUGUGCCUUUACUUAUUCAUUCAUUCCUUUCAGAGUUACAAACACACCUGUGAAGAACAAAACCAAGUUCGGAGUUCAGUAUUUAUUUGCCAUUCUUUUUCGUCUAUUUUCCGAGCACGUAGUCAAAGUAGUUCCCUGAAAUUACCUUCUAAAAUUAGUACUAAAGCAACUAGUCUACAUAUAAGCCAUAUAAGUGAAAGGAAAAGAGAAAUAAAAGAUGUGGAAACAAUUAAAA